rnacentral:rRNA from 1 species
GGUAGGGUAACGGCCUACCAAGGCGAUGAUGCAUGGCCCGAGUUGAGAGACUGAUCGGCCACAUUGGGACUGAGACACGGCCCAAAACUCCUACGGGAGGCAGCAGUAGGGAAAUCUUCCACAAUGGACGCAAGUCUGAUGGAGCAACGCCGCGUGAGUGAAGAAGGGUUUCGGCUCGUAAAGCUCUGUUGUUGGUGAAGAAGGACAGGGGUAGUAACUGACCUUUGUUUGACGGUAAUCAAUUAGAAAGUCACGGCUAACUACGUGCCCAGCAGCCGCGGGUAAU